GUCCAGGGGCGGGAAUCGAACCCACAACUUUCUGCUUACCGGGUAGGUGACAUGUCCACUAGGCUACCCUGGA
rnacentral:tRNA from 1 species